UACGUAGGGGGCAAGCGUUGUUCGGAAUUACUGGGCGUAAAGGGCGCGUAGGCGGCUUGGCAAGUCGGGAGUGAAAGCCCGGGGCUCAACCCCGGAGGGUCUCUCGAAACUGCCAAGCUAGAGUGCGGAAGAGGCAACUGGAAUUCCCAGUGUAGCGGUGAAAUGCGUAGAUAUUGGGAAGAACACCGGAGGCGAAGGCGGGUUGCUGGGCCGACACUGACGCUGAGGCGCGAAAGCCAGGGGAGCAAACGGG
rnacentral:rRNA from 1 species